UCAUCCCAUGUGUACAAAGCCGCGAGCUCCUAGGGAGAACACCCCAAACACCUAAGCCCAUCCUUUGAUACUCCUCUCUUGAUUCAAUCGUCCACCAAGCCAAAAAACACGCAGACCCCUUUCUUCUCCUACUCCCCUCAAGCCGCGAGUUAUCUAAGAGGGGAACAACCAUUCAAGUUUCCAUUUUCCCUGUAUGGUGCGGCUGAGUGGCAGCAAGCAGCCAAGAAGAACGCACCAUGAGUCCAUUUUCUUGCUUGUCUUGUUCGGCCGUGAGUUACAUGUUACCUUUUCGGUUCUUAAAGGAACUCCCCUGCAUGCAGCAGCAACCCGACUUAUGACAAGAAAAACCAGCAACCUUGAGUUUUGACUCAAGCUUCUUUCUUCGCAAGAACAAUGAAAGGUGAAGGUGCUGUCCUCUUAUGGUUGGGGCACACGAACUGAUUUUGGGAGCUGGUUGGGAACAUAUGCAAGGUAGGAAUCUGAACCGUGUCCUCCCUUUUUUUUCCUCCCUCUAAUUCGGCAUUUUGUUAUGUAUUCAAGAAGAAGAUGUUGUGCCAUUUCUCCUUUGUGUUCUGCCAUUGGGAAAAACCCAUGAACUUGGUGCUUGUUAGCACAAGGAGAAUCCAAUUGGUGAGCUUGGAAGUGGCUCCCAUUAAUUUGGUGGGACGGUAGCUGGAAUUAGAAAAAUUAAUUAAGUUGCAUGUGUCCAUUUGGUUAAAGACAGCAUACUAUCAUUGAAUUACUCUGAUUAAGUAAUAGUAGUAGGGUUAUAUUAGAGGAAGGAUUAGAAUUCAUUAGGGAUUAGCCUUAAAAUUAAAUGUAGGCAGAAAAUUAAUAAGCGAUUGGAACCGAGCUUUGUAUGUACCAUAGCAUGUGUAGACAGCUUAAAUUAUGCCCCUUCAAUGACUCCAAAACCGUAUAGGCAAGGGAUG